UGGGGGAAUUUUGGACAAUGGGCGAAAGCCUGAUCCAGCAAUGCCGCGUGUGUGAAGAAGGCCUUCGGGUUGUAAAGCACUUUUGUCCGGAAAGAAAUCCUUGGCUCUAAUACAGUCGGGGGAUGACGGUACCGGAAGAAUAAGCACCGGCUAACUACGUGCCAGCAGCCGCGGUAAUACGUAGGGUGCAAGCGUUAAUCGGAAUUACUGGGCGUAAAGCGUGCGCAGGCGGUUUGCUAAGACCGAUGUGAAAUCCCCGGGCUCAACCUGGGAACUGCAUUGGUGACUGGCAGGCUAGAGUAUGGCAGAGGGGGGUAGAAUUCCACGUGUAGCAGUGAAAUGCGUAGAGAUGUGGAGGAAUACCGAUGGCGAAGGCAGCCCCCUGGGCCAAUACUGACGCUCAUGCACGAAAGCGUGGGGGAGCAAACAGGAUUAGAUACCCCUGGUAGUCCACGCCCUAAACGAUGUCAACUAGUUGUUGGGGAUUCAUUUCCUUAGUAACGUAGCUAACGCGUGAAGUUGACCGCCU
rnacentral:rRNA from 1 species